GAUUAAAAAAAAAUAAGAAGGGAGAAGAGAAGAUCCAGGAUAGAAAACUGUGGAACACCCAUGUUUAUCAGGUUCCAAGAUCCAUACUUACCAAUCUGUUACUGUGCUCAACUCAGGCUAUUAUAUUGUGAAGUCAUAGGAAACAGCUAGUGGUGAAUUAAGGAACCUGCGGGUGGCUGCUUGUCCCA
rnacentral:lncRNA from 1 species